AUAUCAAGAUCGAAUUAAUUGACUGAGAGGAUAACUAACACAGGAUCAUGAUCGGUUAUAUUUCGUGCCACGAUCACUUAUACGCUGUCCACAAGUUUCCUAUUUUUUCAAAAUCUUAAUUAUGUCUCGACAAUACUUCAAAGUCGGUUCGAUGUUGCUGUCCGAAUGUAUUGGCCCGGUCCCUACGUUGCCUUUGGAACAGCUUAUGUUAUGAUUAAUGCUUCGACGAAAAGACAGUGAAA